GCCGACGUAGCUCAGCCGGUAGAGCAACGGUUUCGUAAACCGUAGGUCACGGGUUCGAACCCCGUCGUCGGCU
rnacentral:tRNA from 1 species